GGGAGCCAAACCCAGGUCCUCUGCAAGAACAGCCACAAAACAACAUUUGGUGCCAUGAAGCUCACCAGGCUCUCUACAUAGUUCCUCCUGCCACCGGAGGGCAGGUGGCCUGAGACACUCAGAGACCCUGAGCUGGACCGACAGCACACUUUCCAUCUACCCAUGUGCUGAGAUCCCACACAACACUGGCUACCGUUGAUACAAGAGAUGUCUCAAAAAAGAAAAGACAUUCCUGUUGUUGUCGGAACACAAUCCAAGAAUGGAGUCAUGUGGAAAUGCUGAGUGCUGUGAGAAAAUUCCAAGAAAACAAGAUCUUGUGACCUGAGUUUCUUCAAAACACAGAAUUGUUCUUGGAAUGUGUUUCCAUGCUCCUUCCAGGUGUGGUGGAUAGGAGUGCGUUACUUCAGCUUUUGUUACUUGAAUGCCUCUCUGGAAAAGUGUGUUUUUGCUGCGUG
rnacentral:lncRNA from 1 species